rnacentral:rRNA from 1 species
AUGCCCGCUCGGCCCGCGCGCCGCUCCCUGCGCUCCUUCGUCUCGUGCGCCGCGAGGCUGCUGGACGACGCGGUGCCGCUCGCCUCGCGCGACGGCCUCCUCCUCGUGCGCCUCGCCGACGCGCCGGCCGGGCACGUCGACGCGGACGCCCGGCUAGCCGUGUGCAACCUGAUCGCCGGCACGUGCGACGUGCUGCCCCCGCUGCGGUGCAGCUUCUCCUUCCGCAUCAACAGUUGCGUCGUCCAGACCUUCGCCGACGGCUGCUGCUCAGCCUUCUUCAGAGUGCUGGUCCUUGUCUUGGACAGUGACACACUGAGCUACAGCCUCUGCGCUUUCUCGUCCACGGAGCCGAGCUGGAGCCCGCCGAUAGAGUGCUUCAGCAGCGCGGAGAUCGGCGUCGUGGACGGCGGCGGCGCCAUCGUGCACCGGGGCACCGCGCACUGGCUCGUCACGGACACGUCCAACAACUUGCACACCCUCGAAGCUAGCGACGACGUCUUGUUGAACGAAACCCCGAUUCCACCACCAGGCGACCAUGACUUCAUUCUUCACCGGACACCAUGCCUCAACGUCGCCAUCGACGGGGCACUGUCGCUGCUUCGCCUGUGCAAAGACUGCCUCUGGCUAGAGGUCUGGGCACGUCCAGACGAGGAAAGGAGCGGCGAUGGCGUCCCAGCGGAGUGGCUGCAAACCAAGGCGAUCCAGCUAAAAAGGCCCAAGAACAAGGAGGAGAUUGAGAAAGUACAACGCCUGUGCCUGGACGAGAGAAGCGGCGCAUUGUUCGUCGAGGACAACCUCGAGAGCAUGUACACUGUCGAUCUCGAGACCGGGGAGAUGGAUGAGGUGCGAAGCUACAGGGCGCGAGGGCCGGCCGUCCCCUCCGCCCCGGCUCUCGUCCCGGCGCGGGGAAGCCCGCUCGGCCGCGCGUGCCGCUCCCUGCGCUCCUUGGUCUCGUGCGCCGCGGGCCUGCUGGACGACGCGGUGCCGUUCGUGUCGCGCGACGGCCUCCUCCUCGUGCGCCUCGUCGACGCGCCGACCGAGGUCCCCGGAGGCGUCCGGCUGGCCGUGUGCGACCUGAUCGCCGGCACGUGCGACGAGCUGCCGCCGCUGCGAUGCCGCUUCGGCUUCCGCAUCAACAGCUCCGCCGUCGUGACCUUCGCCGAAGACGGCCGCCGCCGCCCGGCCUUCUUCAAGGUGCUGCUCCUCGUCUUCAACCGCGACACGUUCACCUACGACCUCUGCACUUACUCGUCCACCGAGCCGGGCUGGCGCGCGGAGAUAGUGUGCUUCAGAAGCGUCAUGCUCACCGUCGUGGACGGCGGCGCCGUCGUGCGCCGGGGCACGGCGCACUGGCUCGUCAGAGACCGGUGGAACGGACUCUACACCCUCGAAAUGAGCGACGACGCCUCCUUGGUAGGAACCUCGAUUCCACCACCGAGCGACCAUCAUGGCCAUGAGCACACACAAUGCAUCGGCGUCGCCAUUGACGACGGGGCACUGUCGCUGCAUCGCCUGUGCAAAGGCUGCCUCUGGCUAGAGGUCUGGGCACGUCCAGACGACGAAAGGAGCGGCGAUGCAGAGUGGCUGCAAACCAAGGCGGUCAAGCUGAAAUGGCCAAAGAACAGCAGGACUGGCAAAGUAGAAUGCUUGCGCCUGCACGAGAGAAGCGGCGCGUUGUUCGUCGAAGACGUCUACGAGCGCAUGUACGCCGUCGAUCUCGAGACCGGGGAGAUGGAUGAGGUGACCGGCCUGCUUUGGCAUCUCCGGUCGCAGACGUCGGCGCCCUUCGACAUGGACUGGCCGGCUUUCUUCGAGUCUCGCUUGGGGGGCAACAGACUGACUAAACCGACAGAGAACCCAUGA